rnacentral:rRNA from 1 species
GACGUAGGGCGCGAGCGUUGUCCGGAUUUAUUGGGCGUAAAGAGCUCGUUGGCGGCUUGUCGCGUCGACUGUGAAAACCCGCGGCUCAACCGUGUGGCUUGCAGUUGAUACGGGCAGGCUAGAGUUCGGUAGGGGAGACUGGAAUUCCUGGUGUAGCGGUGAAAUGCGCAGAUAUCAGGAGGAACACCGGUGGCGAAGGCGGGUCUCUGGGCCGAUACUGACGCUGAGGAGCGAAAGCGUGGGGAGCGAACAGG